rnacentral:rRNA from 1 species
UGCGUAGGCGGCGGAGUAAGUUGGGUGUGAAAUCCCGGGGCUUAACCUCGGAAUGGCAUUCAAUACUGCUUCGCUCGAGUACUGGAGAGGAGGCUGGAAUUUACGGUGUAGCAGUGAAAUGCGUAGAUAUCGUAAGGAAGGCCGGUGGCGAAAGCGAGCCUCUGGACAGUUACUGACGCUGAUGCACGAAGGGCCAGGGAAGGCAAAACG